rnacentral:rRNA from 1 species
AGGACGAACGCUGGCGGCGUGCUUAACACAUGCAAGUCGAGCGGUGAAGGUGGUGCUUGCACCACCGGAUCAGCGGCGAACGGGUGAGUAACACGUGAGUAACCUGCCCUUGACUCUGGGAUAACCCCGGGAAACCGGAGCUAAUACCGGAUACGACCCGCACAGGCAUCUAGGUGGGUGGAAAGAUUUAUCGGUCAAGGAUGGACUCGCGGCCUAUCAGCUUGUUGGUGAGGUAACGGCCCACCAAGGCGACGACGGGUAGCCGGCCUGAGAGGGCGACCGGCCACGACUGGGACUGAGACACGGCCCAGACUCCUACGGGAGGCAGCAGUGGGAAUAUUGCUCAAUGGGCGCAAGCCUGAAGCAGCGACGCCGCGUGAGGAUGGAAGGCCUUCGGGUUGUAAACCGUUCUUUCAGCAGGGAAGAAGACGAAAGUGACGGUACCUGCGAAGAAGAAGCACCGGCUAACUACGUACAGCAGCCGC